rnacentral:rRNA from 1 species
UCCACGCACGUAAACGAUGAAUGGUUAGUCGGUUGGGUCUCUAGUAGAUUCAGUGAUGCAGUUAACACAUUAAACAUUCCGCCUGGGGAGUACGGUCGCAAGAUUAAAACUCAAAGGAAUAGACGGGGACCCGCACAAGUGGUGGAGCAUGUGGUUUAAUUCGAAAAUACGCGAAGAACCUUACCUAGCCUUGACAUAGAAAGAAUCUUUUAGAGAUAGAAGAGUGCUAGUUU